UACGUAGGUGCCAAGCGUUGUCCGGAUUUACUGGGCGUAAAGAGCGCGCAGGCGGUCGAUCAUGUCGAGUGUGAAAGCCCCCGGCUCAACUGGGGAGGGUCAUUCGAUACUGAUCGACUCGAAGGCAGGAGAGGGUAGUGGAAUUCCCGGUGUAGUGGUGAAAUGCGUAGAUAUCGGGAGGAACACCUGUGGCGAAGGCGGGUCUCUGGGCAGUAACUGACGCUGAGGAGCGAAAGCGUGGGGAGCGAACAGG
rnacentral:rRNA from 1 species